GGGUAAAUCACCCGCUCUUUUCUUUACGGAGGCCUUGGGAAGAUUUUAACACCAUAGAUUUUUUUAAAUAACAUCAAAAAUGUGUUACAAAGUAAUAUA